rnacentral:rRNA from 1 species
AAAGAGAGUUUGAUCCUGGCUCAGGGGUGAUCGCUAGCUGCAUGCUUAACACAUGCAAGUCGGACGAAUAUGGUGUAAGGAUCGACCUUCUUGUAUAAGUGGCGGACGGGUGAGUAACACGUGAGAAUCUACCUUUUGUAGAGGGAUAACAUCGGGAAACCGCUUAUUAAUACCUCGUAUAGCUGAAGAGUUAUAGCGGUCUAUAAAAACGGCGACUUGAGAUGAGCUUGCGGCUGAUUAGCUAGUUGGUGAGGUAAAGGCUUACCAAGGCCACGAUCAGUAUCUGGUUUGAGAGAAUGACCAGACACACUGGGACUGAGAUACGGCCCAGACUCCUACGGGAGACAGCAGUGGCUAAUAUUUCACAAUGGGCGAAAGCCUGAUGAAGCAAUGCCGCGUGGAGGAUUAAGAUCUAUUGAUUGUAAACUCCUUUUAUCGGGGAAGAAAAACUGACGUUACCUGAGGAAUAAGAAUCGUCUAACUUUGUGCCAGCAGACGCGGUAAUACAAGGGAUUCAAGCGAUACCUGGUAUGAUUGGGCGUAAAGGGUCUGUAGGCGGUUACACAAGUUUAAUGUAAAAGACUUAGGCUUAACCAAAGGGUUGCAUUAAAAACUAUGUUACUAGAGUUCGGAAGAAGUAGAGGGAAUUCCUAAAGGAACAGUGAAAUGUGUAGAUAUUAGGAGGAACACCAGAGGCGAAAGCGCUAAACUGACGCUGAGAGACGAAAGCUAUGGUAGCGAACAAGAUUAGAUACCUUGGUAGUCAUAGCUGUAAACGAUGGAAACUAAGUAGGGGGACACCUCUGCUGUAGCUAACGCGUUAAGUUUCCCGCCUGGGGAGUACGUUCGCAAGAAUGAAACUCAAAGGAAUUGACGGGAACCUGCACAAUCGGUGGAUCAUGUGGUUUAAUCUGAUGCAACACGAAGAACCUUACCAGGUUUUGACAUACCCAGAAUGCCCUAGAAAUAGGGUAGUGUUUAUAGAUUAAGUCUAUAAAAACUGGGCUACAGGUGGUGCAUGGCUGUCGUCAGCUCGUGCGUUGACGUGUACGGUUAAGUCCUUCAACGAGCGCAACCCUCGUCUUUAGUUAUUUACUCUAAAGAGACUGCAAACGUAAGUUUGAGGAAGGUGGGGAUUACGUCAAGUCAUCAUGCCCCUUAUAACCUGGGCUACACACGUGAUACAAUGGUUGGGACAAUGAGAAGCAACUCCGCGAGGAUUAGCGAAUCUACAAACCCAGCCCCAGUUCGGAUUGCAGGCUGCAACUCGCCUGCAUGAAGGUGGAAUCGAUAGUAAUCGCCAGUCAGCUAUAUGGCGGUGAAUACGUAACCAGGUUUUGUACACACCGCCCGUCACACUCCGAAAGGAAAGGGGGUCUAAGUACCUUUGAUUAACCGAAAGGAGGUAUCGGUGACAAAGCCUCUAUCUCUGAUUGGAGGAAGUCGUAACAAGGUAAUGGUUCCAGAAGGAGCUUGUUGGAUAACAUAC